CCCUUAGAUGUUCUGGGCCGCACACGCGCUACACUGAAGGAGGCAGCGUGUACUCCUGGAUCGAAAGAUUUGGGUAACCCGCGAAUCUCCUUCGUGCUAGGGAUUGAGGUUUGCAAUUAUCCUUCAUGAACGAGGAAUUCCCAGUAAGUGCAAGUCAUAAGCUUGCGCUGACUACGUCCCUGCCCUUUGUACACACCGCCCGUCGCUACUACCGAUUGAAUGAUUUAGUGAGGACUUCGGACUGGGACCGAUGCGGCUUUCGGGCUGCGUCGGUAUUCUGGAAAGAUGUCCAAACUGUAUCAUUGAGAGGAAGUAAAANUCGUANCA
rnacentral:rRNA from 1 species